rnacentral:SRP_RNA from 1 species
GCCGGGCGUGGUGGCGGGCGCCUGUAGUCCCAGCUACUCGGGAGGCUGAGGCAGGAGAAUUGCUUGAACCCGGGAGGCAGAGAUUGUAGUGAGCCGAGAUCACACCACUGCACUCUAGCCUGGGUGACAAAGCAAGACUCCGUCUCAG